AGAGUUUGAUCAUGGCUCAGGAUGAACGCUGGCGGCGUGCCUAACACAUGCAAGUCGAACGAAGCUCCUGCGACAGAUUCUUUCGGGAUGAAGAUGCUUGAGACUUAGUGGCGGACGGGUGAGUAACGCGUGGGUAACCUGCCCUGUACUGGGGGACAACAGUUAGAAAUGACUGCUAAUACCGCAUAAGCCUACAGAGUCGCAUGACUCGGACAGGAAAAAUUCCGGUGGUACAGGACUGGGCCCGCGUCUGAUUAGCUAGUUGGUGAGGUAAUGGCUCACCAAGGCGACGAUCAGUAGCCGGCUUGAGAGAGUGAACGGCACAUUGGGACUGAGACACGGCCCAAACUCCUACGGGAGCA
rnacentral:rRNA from 1 species